rnacentral:rRNA from 1 species
CCUACGGGUGGCUGCAGUGAGGAAUAUUGGUCAAUGGGCGAGAGCCUGAACCAGCCAAGUAGCGUGAAGGAUGAAGGCUCUAUGGGUCGUAAACUUCUUUUAUAUGGGAAUAAAGUUUUCCACGUGUGGAAUUUUGUAUGUACCAUAUGAAUAAGGAUCGGCUAACUCCGUGCCAGCAGCCGCGGUAAUACGGAGGAUCCGAGCGUUAUCCGGAUUUAUUGGGUUUAAAGGGAGCGUAGGUGGAUUGUUAAGUCAGUUGUGAAAGUUUGCGGCUCAACCGUAAAAUUGCAGUUGAAACUGGCAGUCUUGAGUACAGUAGAGGUGGGCGGAAUUCGUGGUGUAGCGGUGAAAUGCUUAGAUAUCACGAAGAACUCCGAUUGCGAAGGCAGCUCACUAGACUGUUACUGACACUGAUGCUCGAAAGUGUGGGUAUCAAACAGGAUUAGAUACCCCAGUAGUC